rnacentral:rRNA from 1 species
GAGUUUGAUCGUGGCUCAGGAUGAACGCUAGCGGCAGGCUUAAUACAUGCAAGUCGUGGGGCAGCAGGUCUGUAGCAAUACAGGCGCUGGCGACCGGCAAACGGGUGCGUAACACGUACGCAACCUUCCCGUUACUGGGGAAUAGCCCAGGGAAACUUGGAUUAAUACCCCAUAAUUAUAUUGACUGGGCAUCUGGUUAAUAUCAAAGCUUCGGCGGUAACGGAUGGGCGUGCGGCUGAUUAGGUAGUUGGCGGGGUAACGGCCCACCAAGCCUACGAUCAGUAGCUGAUGUGAGAGCAUGAUCAGCCACACGGGCACUGAGAC